rnacentral:rRNA from 1 species
GAUGAACGCUGGCGGCGUGCCUAACACAUGCAAGUCGAGCGAUUACUUCGGUAAAGAGCGGCGGACGGGUGAGUAACGCGUGGGUAACCUGCCCUGUACACACGGAUAACAUACCGAAAGGUAUGCUAAUACGAGAUAAUAUACUUUUAUCGCAUGGUAGAAGUAUCAAAGCUCUGGCGGUACAGGAUGGACCCGCGUCUGAUUAGCUAGUUGGUAAGGUAACGGCUUACCAAGGCGACGAUCAGUAGCCGACCUGAGAGGGUGAUCGGCCACAUUGGAACUGAGACACGGUCCAAACUCCUACGGGAGGCAGCAGUGGGGAAUAUUGCACAAUGGGCGAAAGCCUGAUGCAGCAACGCCGCGUGAGCGAUGAAGGCCUUCGGGUCGUAAAGCUCUGUCCUCAAGGAAGAUAAUGACGGUACUUGAGGAGGAAGCCCCGGCUAACUACGUG